rnacentral:rRNA from 1 species
UACGAAGGGGGCUAGCGUUGUUCGGAAUCACUGGGCGUAAAGGGCGCGUAGGCGGCUUUUCAAGUCAGAGGUGAAAGCCCGGGGCUCAACCCCGGAAUUGCCUUUGAAACUGUAAAGCUUGAGUGUCGGAGGGGAUAGCGGAAUUGCUAAUGUAGAGGUGAAAUUCGUAGAUAUUAGCAGGAACACCGGUGGCGAAGGCGGCUAUCUGGACGACAACUGACGCUGAGGCGCGAAAGCGUGGGGAUCAAACAGG